rnacentral:rRNA from 1 species
GUGGGGAAUAUUGGACAAUGGGCGCAAGCCUGAUCCAGCAAUGCCGCGUGGGUGAAGAAGGUCUUCGGAUCGUAAAGCCCUUUCGACAGGGACGAUGAUGACGGUACCUGUAGAAGAAGCCCCGGCUAACUUCGUGCCAGCAGCCGCGGUAAUACGAAGGGGGCUAGCGUUACUCGGAAUUACUGGGCGUAAAGGGCGCGUAGGCGGCUCUGUUAGUCAGGCGUGAAAUUCCUGGGCUUAAACUGGGGACUGCGCUUGAUACUGCAGGGCUUGAGGCGGAGAGAGGGUGGUGGAAUUCCCAGUGUAGAGGUGAAAUUCGUAGAUAUUGGGAAGAGCACCGGUGGCGAAGGCGACCACCUGGCUCGGUUCUGUCGCUGAGGCGCGACAGCGUGGGGAGCAAACAGGAUUAGAAACCCCAGUAGUCC